AUUGUAGAACAUAGAAAAUCAAAGUAUUUAAAGAUCUGUCUAGACUUUACUCGAAGAUAGAAGAUUUUUCUACCAAAAGAACGUGUUUGGAUUUUAAUAAUUUGGUGGGGGGAGAAGUGAGUUGUGGAGGUGGUUAAGCCAAGAUUAACCAGUAACAUGUUAAAUAUACAAAUCCACAAGCAUUUCACUAAAUGAUUUAGGCAUUUUUGUUGACUGGUCUUUUCAUUUACAGGGCUUUGAAGUCACUCCAUUUAUCUAUAAAUUCAUUUAGCUGAAGAUUAAAGCAGACAUUGUGAUAUAUGAAAACAGUUUUGGAGUUUCAGUUUAAAUUCUCAACUGGCAAUUGGCCGAAAACUCCCAUCAGAAGACGUGAGCAUCCAAAUGUCAUUUUGUGAUUUGGCUACUGUCUGCUUGAAUAGGAAGGCCCUAUCAAGAAAAACUAAUGGCGUGAUUAACUAUCAAAAGAAAAUCAAUGGAAAAUCUUUAACUUCCACCACAAGAAGAUUAAAAAGAGGUCCCUCCUGCACCAAGAAAGAUCUGCAGAUCUUUUUCAGUGUUCUUGGAGGUGUGGGGUGUGAGAACUUGAUCAGUUUGUGCAACCACCUUGUUCUCUAAAGGAGUGAAAACCCAACCCAACAUUAUUGACACUAAGGAAUUCUUCUACUGGAAUUGGAACUAGAAUUUGGGAGAUUUUAUUUGUAUGUGUACAUACAUAUACUUACUCUUACACAUACAUACACACUAGUGUUUAUUUCUCCUUUUGAAUUCUGUAAGAAUGAUUUGUCAAAGAUAAGAUUUCUGAUUUGUCUUUCACUAGUAUUUUGAUGCCAUGUUUUUGUUUGUUUUUAAUUAAAGAGUAGUCCCUACUAGAAAUUUGGUUUCUUUGGUAUGAUCAUGCUCCCUGUCCUAACAGCUAAAGGGAGGUGAGAGAGCCCUCCUUACCAAUAUUGAUUUUCUAGACCAGCACUGUUCAAUAAAAAUAUAAGCCACAAAUACAAACUACAUGUAUAAUUCUAAGGGUUUUUUGUAGUCGCAUUAAAAAAGUAAAAAGAAACAGGCAAAAUUAAUUUUAAUCACAUUUAAUUUAACCUAAUAUAUCUAAAAUAUUCCUUCAACAUGUCAUCAGUAUAAAAAUUUGAGGUGUUUUACUUUUAUUCAAUUAAGUAUUCAAAAUCUGAUAUGUAUUUUACACUUACAGAAAAUUUUGUGUUGAACUAGGCACAUUUCAAGUGCUCAAUAGCCACAUGUAGCUAGUAGCUACUGUAUGAGGCAGUGCGGAUCUACACCAAGAAUGGAUCUUCCAUUUUAGCAUCAUCCACGAUGAAUUCCAUUGGGUAACUCCGUAAGCUCCCCUGGUUUAGAGUUUCCGGAUUUAACAGAAGACCAAAAAAAAAAAAAAAAAUCAAAAACAAAACAA